rnacentral:rRNA from 1 species
GACGAACGCUGGCGGCGUGCUUAACACAUGCAAGUCGAACGGAAAGGCCUGCUUUCCCUUGUGGAUUGCGGGUACUCGAGUGGCGAACGGGUGAGUAACACGUGAGUGAUCUGCCCCCAACUUGGGUAUAAGCCUGGGAAACUGGGUCUAAUUCCCGAUAGGACUGCAGGGUGGUGCCUGUGGUGGAAAACGAUUUUCUAGUGGUUGGGGAUGAGCUCGCGGCCUAUCAGCUUGUUGGUGGGGUAAUGGCCGACCAAGGCGGCGACGGGUAGCCGGCCUGGGAGGGUGGACGGCCACAUUGGGACUGGGAUACGGCCCAGACGCCUACGGGAGGCAGCGGUGGGGAAUAUUGCACAAUGGGCGGAAGCCUGAUGCAGCGACGCCGCGUGGGGGAUGACGGCCUUCGGGUUGCAAACUCCUUUCGACCGCGAGGAAGCCACCUGGUUGGAAGGGUGGUGACGGUAGUGGUAGAAGAAGCACCGGCUAACUACGUG